GUAUUGUAUGAAAGGAAAGGUUAACACUUCUCUUGACAAGGAUGGAAGAGGCCCUCAGGCCUGACAACAAGCAUACAGUUAAGGCAUUGCCACCCACUUCAUGGCAUCCAACUAUCAUUUUUA
ensembl:snRNA